CCUACGGGAGGCAGCAGUGGGGAAUUUCACAAUGGGCGAAACCCUGACCAGCACUCGCCGCGUGAGGAAGAAAGGCCUUACGGGUCGUAAACCCUCUUACACGGGGACGAUGAUGACGGACCCGGAGGAAGCCCCGUAACUACGUGCCAGCAGCCGCGGAAUAAAACGUGCCAGCCGCCGCGG
rnacentral:rRNA from 1 species